rnacentral:lncRNA from 1 species
GUUACCAAGGCCCAUAUUGAUAACUACAGAAUAUUGUCAAUACAUUUAGUGUAUAUUGAAGAAAUGAGGUUUGAUGAAGUCUACGAACAAGAUGCAUAUACUAAAGAUAUUCGAAAGUUAGAAAACAAACUCUUUGGAGUAUUAUGCCUAAUAAAUGAAGACAUCAAUAAUUCAAGGGUUGUUAUUAACCAUAUAUCACGUGACGCCAUGGAUACGGGCUUGCGCACUCCUUCUAUAAGGAUGGAUCGUUUUGUCCGAGAUUAUGUGACUGUUAAAGAAACUACCAAGCUUUUAGACAAUUUUAUCAUUUUGUACAGAGAAAUUAAAGACAAUUUGAGUAACAGGAAAUAAAAGCAGCGCAUCGUACGUGUAUCUAUAAUCGUUACCCGGUGUUUAU